ACAGCUCGAAACUUUCGUCAAUUAAACGAAGCCGAUGUAAAUGCUAAGUACACUGUACUGUUUUGCAAAUCUAUACUUUAAACUAAGCAGGAUGCCGAAUUUCAAAGUGGCAGAUUUACUCUUUAUCCAUUCAAUCAGUGAUUAUUGGGUGCAAUCCCCGGUCUAAUUAAUUAUGGAUAUGGCAGAUUAAUGUAUUUUUUCCCUACCAAGCAAUUUUCUCCAUCUAAUAAAUACGGCUGCAAAUGAUUAAAAAAUGUCUUUCACGGAUUAUGAAGUAAAAUUCUAAUUGCUUGUGGCUAAAACCGCGCUGUGUCUUCAUACCACAUGUGAUUUCUUAGCGAUUCUUCAGAGGUAACAAUAUUUUAUCAAAGAAUAAGCCAUAAUAGUUAUCAAAUCGUUCUCAAUAAGCUUGACAAUGCACAAAAGAAUUUCAAUAAAAGUACUAAAAAGUUAAAUCAGGCGAGUAUUAAACAAUUCUUCAUAAAAUACGUAUUUAUUAUGCAUACUUAAACAAUGACUUCAGACAAAUCUUUGAUAACGGAAAUUAAGUCAAAUAGCACUUAAUAUGAGUAAUGCACAUAUUCAAUUACUUUCCUAGUUUUCCUUCUUAAAUUUAUUAUUUAUAUUCAUUACUCAUAACCAGUGACAAUUCACUAGAUUUCCGGUACAAAGACAGUUCACUUCCUUCUUUUAUAUGCAAAAUACUUUUAUAUACACGAUAAAACGUUUUUACAGCUAUUAAUUAUUUAAUCCAAAAAUAUUUCUAAAAUUGAAGGGGAAAAUAGGAUACUUUGAAUACUCA